rnacentral:rRNA from 1 species
CUACGGGGUGCAGCAGUGAGGAAUAUUGCACAAUGGGGGGAACCCUGAUGCAGCAACGCCGCGUGGAGGAUGACGCAUUUCGGUGUGUAAACUCCUUUUAUAUGUCAAGAAAAUGACGGUAGCAUAUGAAUAAGCACCGGCUAACUCCGUGCCAGCAGCCGCGGUAAUACGGAGGGUGCAAGCGUUACUCGGAACCACUGGGCGUAAAGGACGCGUAGGCGGGUAGGAAAGUCAGGUGUGAAAUCCUACAGCUUAACUGUAGAACUGCACUUGAAACUUCUAAUCUAGAGUAUGGGAGGGGAGAUGGAAUUAGUGGUGUAGGGGUAAAAUCCGUAGAUAUCACUAGGAAUACCUAAAGCGAAGGCGAUCUCCUGGAACAUUACUGACGCUAAGGCGUGAAAGCGUGGGGAGCAAACAGGAUUAGAUACCCGGGUAGUC